rnacentral:rRNA from 1 species
CUUAUAUUCUGUAGCAAGGUUAACCGUAUAGGGGAGCCGAAGGGAAACCGAGUCUUAACCGGGCGUUAAGUUGCAGGGUAUAGACCCGAAACCCGGUGAUCUAGCCAUGGGCAGGUUGAAGGUUGGGUAACACUAACUGGAGGACCGAACCGACUAAUGUUGAAAAAUUAGCGGAUGACCUGUGGCUGGGGGUGAAAGGCCAAUCAAACCGGGAGAUAGCUGGUUCUCCCCGAAAGCUAUUUAGGUAGCGCCUCGUGAAUUCAUCUCCGGGGGUAGAGCACUGUUUCGGCUAGGGGGCCAUCCCGGCUUACCAACCCGAUGCAAACUGCGAAUACCGGAGAAUGUUAUCACGGGAGACACACGGCGGGUGCUAACGUCCGUCGUGAAGAGGGAAACAACCCAGACCGCCAGCUAAGGUCCCAAAGUCAUGGUUAAGUGGGAAACGAUGUGGGAAGGCCCAGACAGCCAGGAUGUUGGCUUAGAAGCAGCCAUCAUUUAAAGAAAGCGUAAUAGCUCACUGGUCGAGUCGGCCUGCGCG